rnacentral:rRNA from 1 species
CCUACGGGAGGCAGCAGUAGGGAAUCUUCCACAAUGGGCGAAAGCCUGAUGGAGCAACGCCGCGUGGGUGAAGAAGGUCUUCGGAUCGUAAAACCCUGUUGUUAGAGAAGAAAGUUCGUGCGAGUAACUGUUCCCGUUUCGACGGUAUCUAACCAGACAGCCCCGGCUAACUCCGUGCCAGCAGCCGCGGUAAUACGUAGGUGGCAAGCGUUAUCCGGAUUUAUUGGGCGUAAAGGGAACGCAGGCGGUCUUUAAGGUCUGAUGUGAAAGCCUGCGGCUUAACCGGAGUAGUGCAUUGGAGACUGGGAGACUGGAGUGCAGAAGAGGAGGGUGGAACUCCAUGUGUAGCGGUGAAAUGCGUAGAUAUAAGGAAGAACACCAGUGGCGAAAGCGGCUCUCUGGGCUGUAACUGACGCUGAGGUGCGAAAGCGUGGGUAGCAAACAGGAUUAGAUACCCUUGUAGUC